CUAACACUGGAGAGUUUAGAAAAAUUGGAAAUCUGAACGUUUUAGCUCAAGGGGAUUUCUCUUAAAUACAUUUACCUCAUUAUUUGAACAUAAAAAUACAACAUUAUAACAUUGUAGAUAUGACA